rnacentral:tRNA from 1 species
UCUGUUUACCGAGGGUUCGAAUCCCUCUCUUUC